rfam:Triticum aestivum genome assembly, contig: Triticum_aestivum_CS42_TGACv1_scaffold_061229_1DL
ACAGUACUCCCUCAGUCCGGAAUUACUUGUCGAAGAAAUGGAUGUAUCUAGAUGUAUUUUAGUUCUAGAUACAUUCAUUUUUCUCCAUUUUGCGACAAGUAAUUCAGGAUGGAGGGAGUAUAAA